GCAUGGCAGUCACACUGAGCCAGAAGGGGCAUUAUUUCCACCCAUAAUCCUGUCUGAGUUGAGAGAACAAAUCCAGUGGUUUCAUUUGCCGUCUAGCCUUAGUUAAAAAAAAAAAAAAAAGUUGGUCUCAUUAUCAGGAUGCACUUUUCCUCCACACCCUAAUGGUUCUGUGUUUUUUUCCCCUAGGUGGUCGUGGGCCCAAACAUCACGCUGCCUGAGGGCUCGGUGAUCUCUUUGCAUGCUCCAGAUGCAGAGGAAGAUGAAGAUGAUGGCGAGUUCAGUGAUGACUCUGGGGCUGACCAAGAAAAGGACAAAGUGAAGAUGAAAGGUUACAAUCCAGCAGAAGUAGGAGCUGCUGGCAAGGGCUACCUCUGGAAAGCUGCAGGCAUGAACGUGGAGGAAGAGGAGGAACUGCAGCAGAAUCUGUGGGGACUCAAGAUCAACAUGGAAGAAGAGAGUGAAAGUGAAAGUGAGCAAAGUAUGGAUUCUGAGGAGCCGGACAGCCGGGGAGGCUCCCCUCAGA
rnacentral:sRNA from 1 species